GCAUGAGUGCGCGCGGAUGAUUGUGUUCUUUAUGGGAUUAUAGAAGACGAGAGAAGGGUAGAAAAGAUUCAGAAAGAGGGCUCGGGUUGUAGUUACUCUGUGCAGAAGAGGAGUCAGGUGUAAUCUUCUCUUAUUUAAUGAAUCUUAUUUUACCCGCAUAUUUUCUGUUUUGGUAUUUCUCUCUUUUAUGAUUGUAUCAGCUUUUGCUGAGGAGACGGGUUUAUGGUAAAAAUCCGAUUUGAUGUUUCCGUUGCGGAAUCCCAACCAUCGGUACCGGAUUCACAGCAGUCGGUAUCGGAACGGGUUGCGGAUUCACAAGAUUUUUUACACUGUCACACUUGCACCGCGUCAUCAAUAACAAGCCAAUCAUAUUCCUUCUUUUCAAACAAAAGUACAAUAAAAAUACUUUUUUACAAUCAUAAUGGGACAUAUAUUCUUAAAAGGAUUAAUUUGAUUGGUUUGUUACGCCGCGUCACUAAUAUACCCGUUGCAUUCUAGAAUUUUUCGUUGGAGAGAGG
rnacentral:lncRNA from 1 species